UGAGCAAUCUGCCCUUCUCAUCGGAAUAAGCGUUGGAAACGACGUCUAAUGCCGAAUACGACCUCCUUUCGCAUGAUCGGAGGUGGAAAGCUCCGGCGGAGAAGGAUGAGCUCGCGGCCUAUCAGCUAGUUGGUGUGGUAAUGGCCCACCAAGGCGACGACGGGUAGCCGGCCUGAGAGGGUGACCGGCCACACUGGGACUGAGACACGGCCCAGACCUCCGUACGGGAGCAG
rnacentral:rRNA from 1 species